rnacentral:misc_RNA from 1 species
UCCCCGUUUAAGCGAGGCAGUCUGUCCAGAGUGCUCUUUACUCUCGUAAAGGUGGCAACAGGACACAAGGGUUGCGCUCGUUGCGGGACUUAACCCAACAUCUCACGACACGAGCUGACGACAGCCAUGCAGCACCUGUGCAGGCUCCCCUUGCGGGGUCGUCCCACUUUCAUGGUUCUACCACCUGCAUGUCAAGGCCAGGUAAGGUUCUUCGCGUUGCAUCGUAUUAAGCCACAUACUCCACCGCUUGUGCAGGCCCCCGUCAAUUUCUUUGAGUUUUAAUCUUGCGACCGUACUCCCCAGGCGGCACGCUUAUCGCGUUAGCUUCGCCACAAGAGGGGUCGAUUCCUCUUACAGCAAGCGUGCACCGUUUAGGGCCGGGACUAC